UGGUCUUAUUAUUUCCACUCACAUUUUUCUAAAUAUCCUAUAAACUUUUCAUUAUAAAUAUAUGUCUGUUUAAAUAUUAUUAUAUGCAAUACUACUGUGCAGGACUGACUUUUAAAUGGAACCAUUCAUUGUUAUAAUUAAUGACUUUGUGCCAAUAAAUAUUUUGUAUUUAAAGAAAAGUAUUUUGCUUCUCGUCUGUACAUUAUUAUAAACAAUGUAAACAUUAAUUUUAAUUGGAACCGAAACAUGUAAAAACGAGAACUUCCCGGAAUAUCAGACCGUAUCCGGAUUCGUGUUUCUUUUAGAGUAAUUGUAACAUUUCCGCAAGGUUGCAUUGGAAAUUUGAAAGACGCCGAAGGUCGAUUAAUAUUUACUUUAUAGAUGCAAGACGAGUGACAGCAAGUUUGAGGAAUGAAGAGCAAAAAGAUAUAGCAGUCUUUAUAUAAAAUAGUUCAGGGAUCCAGUUGGAAAGAAGACCUUUUCAGUUAAAAGUAUUUCCUGGGAAUUAACAGGAACUUCUAUAAAUGUUUUUCUGGAAUAGUUAUUCAAAAGGGCAGUGAAGUGAAGGAUUACAUUAGACAAAUAUUGCUGAAGUGGUAAAAUAAGACCCAAGAGAUGUACAAAAUUUCUACAAUACAUGUUACAGCUGACUUUAGCUACUUAAUCACAUUGACAUUUGUGUGUUUUUAUGUUUUCUUUACAUAAUUACUACAGUUCUAUUAAAAUUAAUAUUUUUA